GACGAACGCUGGCGGCGUGCUUAACACAUGCAAGUCGAACGGAAAGGCCCUGCUUUUGUGGGGUGCUCGAGUGGCGAACGGGUGAGUAACACGCGAGUAACCUGCCCUUGUCUUUGGGAUAACUUCAGGAAACUGGGGCUCAAACCGGAUAGGAGCUCCUGCAGCAUGGGGGGGGUUGGAAAGUUUCGGUGGUGGGGUAUGUGCUCGCGGCUUAUCGGCUUGUUAGGGGGGUAGUGGGUUACCAAGGCUAUGAAGGGAAGGCCGCCUGAGAGGGUGAGCGGCGACAUGGGGACUGAGGUACGGCACAGACUGCUACGGGAGGCAGCAGUGGGGAAUCUUGCGCAAUGGGCGGAAGCCUGAUGCAGCAGCGCCGCGUGCGGGAUGACGGCCUUCUUGUGGAAAACCACUUUCGCCUGUGACGAAGUGUGAGUGACGGUAAUGAAUAAAAAAGCACCGGCUAACUACGUG
rnacentral:rRNA from 1 species